GCUCCCUCCCUCGCGGGCUGCACGUGCCCCGGCGCUGGCUCAGCACCGCACGGCAAAUCCCUCCCGCCCGCUCCUCCUGCCCUUCGCCUCUUCAGGCAGGGCCAGCAUCAGCCCCGCGGGUCAAAGCAGACCCCUGCACCCCCCCGGGUGAGCUGCACGGCUGCUGACCUGCCCCCUGCAUGAUCCAGCYCCCCAGCACUUCCCCGCUUGGUCACCCUGAAAGCGGCUUCUGCAGGAGGUAGCAGGGUAGAGGGCGUGAGAGAGGGGCUAGACGUAGGGCGUGCAUGCACCCGGGGGCCCUGGCACGUGCCGUCCCCUCCCGGGCGUCCUCACAGUCCAGUCAGGGAUUUUUAAGUAAGCAAUAAUUACACUGAUUAAAAUGCAGCCUUGUCCCCCUGAUGGAGCACAGGGUGUAGGGYGGCGGGAGAGGGUGCGCAGGAGCUGAUUGCUGUGGCAGAGGGUGCGCGAGGAGCUGGUGCAACACGCUGCGCUCCCUCCCCACGGAGCGGAGACUCUGCGUAUCCGUGUAGCUCCUGCAUGGGUGAAUGGGAGCUCUCUCCUUGGAAAUAAAGGCCACUUACCCAACUUGGYGCUGCUGCAGUUUAUUUCCCUGUUUGGUCCCUUGCCCAAACCUUGUGUCCUGCUGUUUUCCUGCCAGAGGGGGUGGGAUCAGAGUGGAUCUUGCACGAAGGGGUGCUCAGCCAAAACCCAUUCAGUGAGGGAUGCAGAGUACCCCUCUACAACGCAGGGCAAGGUUAGGUGCCAUGCUGCCAUCCUAAGGCACUGCAAGCAGAAGGCAGAGAAAGGAAUACUGGACUGAACCACUAGAGUUAAAACAGCAACCAGUUUUUUGUGUAUCAGCCCCAGCAUCUGGGGCUGCCUGCAGGAAUCCCCACAUGAGAAACCUGCCGUCUUGCACAGAGAGCAACUCAAUGCGUAGCACAUCCCAUAGAGACAACACUUUUGGGGAAACAAGUUAGCAACUGGCAGAGGUGUUAGAAAAGAGGGACCUUUUCCCUCCUCAUCAUUAGAGGCACCAGGAAAACCAAUGAAUGUAUUUGUUAGCUGGUUAAACACUGCCCUUCAGGGAGUUACGAGGUUAUAGGGGCAGCRUGCUGGUCCCACACACCAGCCCUAGUGGCAGUACUGCUAGGGCCUGCCCACUCCCACUGCUUUCUGCUCUAGCCAGUCAGGUGCAUAAAUCUCAACAGCCCCUAACCAAAUUUAUUAGCUAUUAUCCAUGUUAUGUCUUGGCCUGGAGGCCCCUCUGGAUAGGGAAUGGUAGGAAUUCAGCUUGAGCACUUCUCCAUGGACACCAGGUCUGUGGAAGGUAUGGGCUGCGGUCA
rnacentral:lncRNA from 1 species